rnacentral:lncRNA from 1 species
CUUCAAUUACCCUUGUUGGGUGAACAACUUGAUUUUUUCCUAACAUUACUGAGCACCUGCUAGGGGACUGCACUAAAUACAGCAGACAAAAGUGCCUCAGGAAUUCAGCCCCAAGAUUUCUAGAGGAUUCAAUUUCUCACUAGCAGACACAAAAUAAUUCCUUACCCUCUCCGAACUUUGUGAUGGAUACAAUGUCUGGAUGACAAGACUCUUCCCCAGAUUACUCUUUGCUGAAAUGACGGCUGAGCAUAGUAUGGACCUAGCAUUUCCAGUGAACGGUUCAAUUUCAGUGUUAAUUUUCCCCCAAGUUUCUAUGUCAGCAUAGAUUCGUAGUAGAGUGAGUGGAUGAACAAAUUGAUAGAGGUUUUUCUUCUGAGAUGUUGAAGUCGACUUGCUUUGACUCCCAAGUAAUUUCAAAACUGUUUUUUAAGAAAUUGUUUCCAGUCUUGGAGUAGACGCUAGAAAUCUGACAGAAGCUACGAUAUUAAAUCUUUUUUGACGAAGGAAAGUGGUGUUUUUUUUUUAAAAUGUCUGAAAUAUAGAGAUGUCUAUAUAGAAUAUAUGCCUUUUGUUUUAGAAAAUUAAGGGAUUCCUCUGCAUAAAUAAAUUGCAGAUUUAAUUUGGGAAAGAGCUGUCUUUUGCCUCAUGCUUUAAGUAGCAAGGUAUUUUUUAGUGAAACAAUAGGCGCUAGUAGGUUUUACAAACUCAACACAUUCACAUAAUAAAGAUGAAGCUAUGAAGCUACAAGGAAACAGGAAUAAGGUAUGUCAUGACUACCUCAAGAGAAGUAAUUUGAGCAAUUAAGGAAUAACUAUGGCAAAAACAAAACAAUAAGUAGAACCUAUGGACUUGAUUUCUGGGAAAUUACUAGAGACUUUCACUUAUUAGUCUGACCUGUUUAAUUUUCUACACUGCUCAACUCUUAC